rnacentral:rRNA from 1 species
AAAAGCUUUCUUUAAUUGAAUAAUUGAAUUUAAUUUUUUAGUGCAAAAGCAAAAAUAAAAAUUAGGGACAAGAAGACCCUAUGAAUUUUUUAUUAAAUUUUAUAAAACUUUUUAUAAAAUUUAAUUUAAUUGGGGUGAUGGAAAAAGAAUAAAUAUCUUUUUUUUAAAAAAAAUUGGUUCCGUUUUUAGCGAUUAAAUGAAAAAAAUACUCUAGGGAUAACAGCGUAAUAAUUUUGGAUAGUUCAUAUAGAUAAAAUAGUUUGCGACCUCGAUGUUGGAUUAGGAUUCUUUUUUGGUGAAGAAGUUAAAAAAAGAAGUUUGUUCAACUUAUAAUUUCCUACUUGAUCUGAGUUCAGACCGG